GAUGAACGCUGGCGGCGUGCCUAACACAUGCAAGUCGAACGGAGUCGUUUUGGAAAUCUCUUCGGAGAUGGAAUUCUCGACUUAGUGGCGGACGGGUGAGUAACGCUUGAGCAAUCUGCCUUUAAGAGGGGGAUAACAGUCGGAAACGGCUGCUAAUACCGCAUAAAGCAUUAAAUUCGCAUGUUUUUGAUGCCAAAGGAGCAAUCCGCUUUUAGAUGAGCUCGCGUCUGAUUAGCUAGUUGGCGGGGUAACGGCCCACCAAGGCGACGAUCAGUAGCCGGACUGAGAGGUUGAACGGCCACAUUGGGACUGAGACACGGCCCAGACUCCUACGGGAGGCAGCAGUGGGGAAUAUUGCGCAAUGGGGGAAACCCUGACGCAGCAACGCCGCGUGAUUGAAGAAGGCCUUCGGGUUGUAAAGAUCUUUAAUCAGGGACGAAACAAAUGACGGUACCUGAAGAAUAAGCCCCGGCUAACUACGUG
rnacentral:rRNA from 1 species